rnacentral:rRNA from 1 species
CCUACGGGUGGCAGCAGUGGGGAAUAUUGGACAAUGGGGGGAACCCUGAUCCAGCCAUGCCGCGUGUGUGAAGAAGGCCCUCGGGUUGUAAAGCACUUUCAGUGAGGAAGAACGCCUGGUGGUUAAUACCCAUCAGGAAAGACAUCACUCACAGAAGAAGCACCGGCUAACUCCGUGCCAGCAGCCGCGGUAAUACGGAGGGUGCGAGCGUUAAUCGGGAAUUACUGGGCGUAAAGCGCGCGUAGGGGGCUUGAUAAGCCGGUUGUGAAAGCCCCGGGCUCAACCUGGGAACGGCAUCCGGAACUGUCAAGCUAGAGUGCAGGAGAGGAAGGUAGAAUUCCCGGUGUAGCGGUGAAAUGCGUAGAGAUCGGGAGGAAUACCAGUGGCGAAGGCGGCCUUCUGGACUGACACUGACACUGAGGUGCGAAAGCGUGGGUAGCAAACAGGAUUAGAUACCCUAGUAGUC